ACUCCUACGGGAGGCAGCAGUGAGGAAUAUUGGACAAUGGAUGGAAAUCUGAUCCAGCCAUGCCGCGUGCAGGAAGACGGCCUUAUGGGUUGUAAACUGCUUUUAUACGGGAGCAAUAAGGGUUACGAGUAAUCCGAUGAGAGUACUGUAUGAAUAAGGAUCGGCUAACUCCGUGCCAGCAGCCGCGGUAAUACGGAGGAUCCGAGCGUUAUCCGGAAUUAUUGGGUUUAAAGGGUGCGUAGGCGGCCAUUUAAGUCAGCGGUGAAAUUUUGCAGCUUAACUGUAACAGUGCCGUUGAUACUGUUUGGCUAGGAUUUGGUUGUAGUGUGCGGAAUGUGUGGUGUAGCGGUGAAAUGCUUAGAUAUCACACAGAACACCGAUUGCGAAGGCAGCACACUAAGUCAUUAUUGACGCUGAGGCACGAAAGUGUGGGGAUCAAACAGGAUUAGAUACCCUGGUAGUC
rnacentral:rRNA from 1 species